CGCAGAUACACCGAUACAAAUCAGUUCGGUACACAGUCCGACCCCCAGCCCGUCCCGUUCCGUCAAAACCAGGAGGAAAAACCAACCGAACGAACUCUCCCGAUCCGCCCGACCCGAUCCCCAAAUCCCUCCGCGUCUCAUGGCGGCGAGCCUGUGGCGAGCGGUGAUGGGCACCGGCGCCCCGCCCGCGGACGCCACGGACGGCAUCGAGUUCUGGCGCGAGCCCGAGCGCGGCGGGUGGCUGGACAAGCAGGGCGAGUACAUCAAGACGUGGCGGCGGCGGUGGUUCGUGCUCAAGCAGGGGAAGCUCUUCUGGUUCAAGGACUCGACCGUCACGCGCGCGUCCGUGCCCCGCGGCGUCAUCACCGUCGCCUCCUGCCUCACCGUCAAGGGCGCCGAGGACGUGCUCAACCGCAAGUUCGCCUUCGAGCUCUCUACCCCGGGCGACACCAUGUACUUCGUCGCCGACUCCGAGAAGGAGAAGGAGGACUGGAUCAACUCCAUCGGCCGCUCCAUUGUCCAGCACUCCCGAUCCAUGACCGACGACGAGAUCGUCGACUACGACAGCGGCCGCCCCGCGGCCGGCGGCAAAUCAUAGAUUCGUCGAUUGAUUCGGUGAGCAAAAGGACCGGUGAGGCGGUGUCACCUGUAAUUCUACUGUUCUACAUCGUCUUUGUCAUAUUUAUCUAGAUUCUUUUAGUUCAUAUUUUCCACAGAUAUGAUGUGUGCACCUGUAUAUUAUUAGUGAUUUUAGGUGUCUUUAUUUAUACUAUGGAUCGGUUUUGUUCUUAUAACUUUUAAGUACUGUUCGAUUUGUAUUUGGUCCUUAAACUUUCUUAUCCAAGUGUAUAUCUCAAGCCGUAGCAAAUUGAACAAGGGGAUGUUUCUCGGUGUUUUUGACUUCUGUACAUGUAGAGUUGUCUGAUAAUAUUUGGCUUGUUAUGACUGGAUACAUAGUGGCCCAUUAACCGUAAAAUCAUGCAUUGUAUCUUGUUCGUUCAACAUCUUGGUUUGCCUACUCCAGCGAGAAUGCUUGGUUGACCAUGAUGAACUCAGAGCAGUGUUUGUGUACAGAAAAAAAAGGCAACCCUCCUUUGCCUUCUGUCAGUAUCAACAGACAGAAGCGACUGCAUGAUUGUGUUCCAUUAACAUACUUGUGUUUUUAUGAGCUUAUCACUUAAAAUAGCUUUUGUGCUAAUCACUUAACCAUGUUGAGAACAUCUGCAAAGCUGCAAAUAGCAGUAUUUAAGUACAUCAAUAUGGUUAUAAGCAAAUCAUGUGAAAACAGCUGUAAACAGUGAUGUUAUGAGUAAUGAUACCUCCAAUUAUAUUCCUUCACCUCAUUACUGAACAUGUCAGGUCCCCAUCUCAUCAUUGGAAAUGGCUAAGCUCAAGAGCUGAAUGCUUAACAUCAUUCCUAACAUUAUUGUGCCAUCACGUGGUAGAUACAUGUGGUCAGUACUGUACUUAUGUUCCUGCAAAAAAGAAUUGCAUUUAUGGAGAUAAUAGUUUCACAGUACAUCCUGAUAAGAUAACUCUGUCUUAUGCAGGCUAGCUGCGUAGAUGUGUUUUUUCUGUUUCUCUAAUUAUUUCCUGACUUAUGAAUGUUAUAUGUGUAUAUCUGAUUCAAGGACACUUGCUUUGCAUGCCCAGCAAGAUAAUGUUCUGUAGACACAUUUAUCUG
rnacentral:rRNA from 1 species